rnacentral:rRNA from 1 species
ANAGUUUGAUACUGGCUCAGAAUGAACGCUAGCGGCAGGCCUAACACAUGCAAGUCGGACGGUAACAGGGAUUGCUUGCAAUCCGCUGACGAGUGGCGCACGGGUGCGCAACGCGUAUAGAACCUACCCUGUACAGGGGGAUAGCCCAGAGAAAUUUGGAUUAAUACCCCGUAGUACCUAUUAGAGGCAUUUUUAAUAGGUUAUAGUUUUCGAACGGUAUAGGAUGGCUAUGCGUCUUAUUAGCUAGUAGGUAAGGUAACGGCUUACCUAGGCAACGAUAAGUAGGGGCCCUGAGAGGGGGAUCCCCCACACUGGUACUGAGACACGGACCAGACUCCUACGGGAGGCAGCAGUGAGGAAUAUUGGACAAUGGGCGGAAGCCUGAUCCAGCCAUGCCGCGUGCAGGAAGACGGCCCUAUGGGUUGUAAACUGCUUUUAUACGGGAAGAAUAAGGGAUACGUGUAUCCUGGUGACGGUACCGUAAGAAUAAGGACCGGCUAACUCCGUGCCAGCAGCCGCGGUAAUACGGAGGGUCCGAGCGUUAUCCGGAAUUAUUGGGUUUAAAGGGUCCGCAGGCGGGCAAUUAAGUCAGAGGUGAAAUGGUGCGGCUCAACCGUAGCACUGCCUUUGAUACUGGUUGUCUUGAGUCAUGGUGGAGUGGCCGGAAUAUGUAGUGUAGCGGUGAAAUGCAUAGAUAUUACAUAGAACACCGAUCGCGAAGGCAGGUCACUAACCAUGAACUGACGCUGAUGGACGAAAGCGUGGGGAGCGAACGGGAUUAGAUAC